UUAUAAUGAAUGUAGCAUGAACCAUUUCAACGGCACACUGUUUAGCUAAUGGAUGUAUAAACAUUACUGGUUAAUCACUCUACACACAGAAGAAACUAAAAGGAGUUAAAGGAGAAGACUGAACACGCUCUACCUUCACCUGCAUCAGUGUACACACACUUUUAUCAGGGAUGGACUGGUCAUCGAGAGAGUCGGGAGUUUUCCCGGUGGGCUGCUCUGUAUGUGGGCCGCUGAGAGAGUGAAAAAUAAAUUCUGUUUUAAACAUUCAAUAAUAAUCCUGAAGUGUGCAUUGGCCAAUCACAGAAAUGUCCCUCCCCCAGGAUAAACCAUAAUCACAACCAAAAGUUCAAAAAAUACAUAGUGAAUGAGUGCGAGAUGGAGAAAGGGUCGAAAAAGCGUAAAGGAGGCGCAGAAAAAGCCUGUGAUAAAAAAAAAGAAGAAGCUGCAAGCAGAUGCAGGAAAGUUCAGGAAACUGGACAACCUGUUUGGCAGUGAGGAACUACAGCACAGCCAAAGAGCAAAAGGAAAAGUUAGUGUUCAGAGCCUCUGCUUCGUCAGUAACGCCGUUUAAAAAGAGAAUGUGGGCCCAUCUCAAAUGUCGCCUAUGCCCUACUUAGGGUUCCUAACUUCCUAACAGUAAAAAACAUUUUUUUAACAGUCACUGAAUGAUUAAUAAGUAGUUAUCUAAGCUACUGUUUGA